AUUGAACGCUGGCGGCAGGCCUAACACAUGCAAGUCGAACGAGUGGCGGACGGGUGAGUAAUGUCUGGGAAACUGCCUGAUGGAGGGGGAUAACUACUGGAAACGGUAGCUAAUACCGCAUACCAUCAGAUGUGCCCAGAUGGGAUUAGCUUGUUGGUGGGGUAACGGCUCACCUAGGCGACGAUCCCUAGCUGGUCUGAGAGGAUGACCAGCCACACGGGAACUGAGACACGGUCCAGACUCCUACGGGAGGCAGCAGUGGGGAAUAUUGCACAAUGGGCGCAAGCCUGAUGCAGCCAUGCCGCGUGAGUGAAGAAGGCCUUCGGAUCGUAAAGCACUUUUGGUGGAGAGGCGGUAUCUGACGAAGAAGCAACGGCUAACUACGUGCCAGCAGCCGCGGUAAUAC
rnacentral:rRNA from 1 species